AAUGAAGCGUUGAGAAAUGUUCAUAAACAACAUGUACAGUUUCGGGAUAUAUCCAGAUUGUAUGUUUGUACACUGUUGUACAAAAGUAUGGCAGUGAAUUUUCGAUAUUAUAAUUCAUCAGCUUCAAACCUGUCACUUUUGAACCAAUCAAACACACAGUCGAGGGUACUACGUCAUAUUGAAUGUGUUUUCUUUACCAAAUAUGGGAUUACGUAAACACAACCAUAUGUUGUUACACUACGUGUGACAAUUUUAUGUUAUCGGGCAUAUAUUUAUUGGAUUCAGAUAUGCAGCCGUCACAGCCUGCUGAUGAAGAUCCUCAGCUUAUACAGAGGUCAGGCUUGAGCUAUGUGCUGAUUCAAAAGAUGUUAAUGACAGUGGAUAAUCCAUUCUGAGCUGUUCUAGGACCAUUCACCAAGGUUCCAAAACACUGAUGGAUCUGAAGGCAGUACCUGUAUUGGUGUCUGGUCUGUGAUUUCAAGUAUAAUUGAUGUACCUCCUCCUGAUGUAUCUCCUCGAAUACAAUAUAUCUGCCAUGUGAAAGGAACAAGCUGCAAGAUAUACUGUAGAAGUGGGGGCCUAUGUAAAAAACAUUUUAUUUAAAGAAUAUAAAAAAUCUGACACUAAACUACUGAAAAGGUGCACAGGGACAUUUUUGUGUGUAUAGACUUUCAUCAAGAUUCUGAGAAAGUUGAUUUAUCAAACAGAAAUAGUCAGAUUGUGUCUUCAAAGCUGAAAAGAUUAAGAUCUUAGGAAAACAUUUGGACUCAAGAAAAGUAUUGCGCUUAUGAAACUGUAGUGUUCAACAUUUAAAUUGUUUUUUUUUUUUU